rnacentral:tRNA from 1 species
GCCCGGGUGGUGAAAUUGGUAGACACGCGAGACUUAAAAUUUCGUGACCUUCUGGUCGUGCGGGUUCGAUUCCCGCCCCGGGCA